CCUCACGCGACGAAUUGAUAAAAAGACAAUAUUUUGGUUAUCCAUGCAAUCCUACAAUUGAAUGCAGUAUUUUGCUCAUCCAUGAGAAGCAACCAAAGAUCAUACAUCAGCUGCAGAGCUCCGAUGUCUCCAUCCCCGCCUGCACGGUGCCGCCUCUAUCCUCUGCCCCUCUUCUUGGUGCAUAGUGGCCAGCUGGUCGGACGCUUUUGAUUGCUGGCCUCCGAUUUGAGGUAAAAAUGUUUUGAGGUGUAGAUCGCAAAUGGAAGAACCACGGCGCACAUAAAAACUAAGGGCACUAUCAUGUUUUAAGAUGAAGAUACCCUUAUUUCCUGCGGUGGCUUGGGAAGGGAGUGAGACCGUGACUUGAUAGGUAAAAGGCCAGAGAAACAGCGUUGCGUCUACUCCCAGUGUAGAGAUCUUCCAUGGAGAUGCAGGGCCGAGGU